CACGUAGGGUGCGAGCGUUGUCCGGAAUUAUUGGGCGUAAAGAGCUCGUAGGCGGUGUGUCACGUCGGCCGUGAAAACCUGCAGCUUAACUGUGGGCGUGCGGUCGAUACGGGCAUCACUGGAGUUCGGCAGGGGAGACUGGAAUUCCUGGUGUAGCGGUGAAAUGCGCAGAUAUCAGGAAGAACACCCGUGGCGAAGGCGGCUCUCUGGGACGGUACUGACGCUGAGACGCGAAAGCGUGGGGAGCGAACAGG
rnacentral:rRNA from 1 species